CUACGGAGGGUGCAAGCGUUACUCGGAAUCACUGGGCGUAAAGCGCGCGCAGGCGGCUAUUUAAGUUGGAUGUGAAAGCCUACGGCUCAACCGUAGAACUGCAUCCAAAACUAUUUAGCUAGAGUGUGGGAGAGGAAGAUGGAAUUAGUUGUGUAGGGGUAAAAUCCGUAGAGAUAACUAGGAAUACCAAAAGCGAAGGCAAUCGUCUGGAACACUACUGACGCUGAGGCGCGAAAGCGUGGGGAGCAAACAGGAUUAGAAACCCUAGUAGUCC
rnacentral:rRNA from 1 species